CCUACGGGAGGCAGCAGUGAGGAAUAUUGGUCAAUGGGCGCGAGCCUGAACCAGCCAAGCAGCGUGAAGGAUGACUGCCCUACGGGUUUUAAACUUCUUUUAUAAAGGAACAAAGUGUGGCACGUGUACCUAUUUGUAUUUACUUUAUGAAUAAGGAUCGGCUAACUCCGUGCCAUCAGCCGCGGUAAUACGGAGGAUCCGAGCGUUAUCCGGAUUUAUUGGGUUUAAAGGGAGCGUAGAUGGGUUGUUAAGUCAGUUGUGAAAGUUUGGGGCUCAACCGUAGAAUUGCAAUUGAUACUGGCAGUCUUGAGUACAGUAGAGGUAGGCGGAAUUCGUGGUGUAGCGGUGAAAUGCUUAGAUAUCACGAAGAACUCCGAUUGCGAAGGCAGCUUACUAAGCUGCCACUGACAUUGAUGCUCGAAAGUGUGGGUAUCAAACAGGAUUAGAUACCCCAGUAGUC
rnacentral:rRNA from 1 species